rnacentral:rRNA from 1 species
GGAAUCUUCCACAAUGGACGAAAGUCUGAUGGAGCAACGCCGCGUGAGUGAAGAAGGGUUUCGGCUCGUAAAACUCUGUUGUUAAAGAAGAACAUAUCUGAGAGUAACUGUUCAGGUAUUGACGGUAUUUAACCAGAAAGCCACGGCUAACUCCGUGCCAG